GGAAUUUUGGACAAUGGGCGAAAGCCUGAUCCAGCAAUGCCGCAUGCAGGAUGAAGGCCUUCGGGUUGUAAACUGCUUUUGUACGGAACGAAAAGCUUCGGGUUAAUACUCUGAAGUCAUGACGGUACCGUAAGAAUAAGCACCGGCUAACUACGUGCCAGCAGCCGCGGUAAUACGUAGGGUGCAAGCGUUAAUCGGAAUUACUGGGCGUAAAGCGUGCGCAGGCUGUCUUGUAAGACAGAGGUGAAAGCCCGAGGCUCAACCUGGGAACUGCCUUUGUGACUGCAAGGCUGGAGUGCGGCAGAGGGGGAUGGAAUUCCGCGUGUAGCAGUGAAAUGCGUAGAUAUGCGGAGGAACACCGAUGGCGAAGGCAAUCCCCUGGGCCUGCACUGACGCUCAUGCACGAAAGCGUGGGGAGC
rnacentral:rRNA from 1 species